rnacentral:rRNA from 1 species
AUGAGGAGAACUGAGGAGCACGCCGCGUGAACGAUGAAGGUUUUCGGAUCGUAAAGUUCUGUUGUUAGGGAAGAACACGUUACCGUUCGAAUAGGGCGGUAUCUUUGACGGUACCUAACGAGAAAGCCCCGGCUAACUACGUGCCAGCAGCCGCGGUAAUACGA